GGGGACCUUCGGGGCCCUAUACCUUCGGUGGGGAAACCCACCGUUAUGCAAAACGGAAGACAG
rnacentral:ncRNA from 1 species